rnacentral:tRNA from 1 species
GGUGAACAUCACUCAGUGGUAAAGCAUCUGCUUGCCAUGCAGAGAGUCCUGGGUUUAGCCCCCAGUAUCUCCA